GUAAGAGGAGGGCCCAGAGGAGCCAGGCUAGAGUUCAAUCAAGGAAAGGAUUUUUGUCAGAAGCCUGGGCCACGUCUUCAUUCUGGGCUGCCAGUUCAACCUACUUAUGAUGUUUAGGGCUUUGCUAAAUCUCCUGCGGCAUCAGCUCCCCAGCAUACUUUUCACAGGAAGAUCAAUUCCAAGAAAACACUUAAAGCCUGUGGAAGUUACCCAUUAACAAAUGCUAAGUGGCCAGUCGCUGACGGAGGGGGCCUUUGACUAAGACCGAGAAGCGACAGCUCUGCUGGGAGCCCUGAAACAAGGGAAUGGCCCCCAUGUCCACCAUGCGGAGCAGAAGACAAGUGGCAACGGCAGCAAGCAGAGGACCGCAGAGAAGCGUGCAGCCUGAGCCGCAAGGUUUGCGGGCUGUCACGAUACCGAAGGAGGAGGAGCAGGAACGCAAAGCACCCACAAACAGCCCUUGACAUGUAGCAAAUGUGCACUCCCCCAC
ensembl:lncRNA